rnacentral:lncRNA from 10 species
GAGUCCUCCCUAGCGUUCGCGCAGAGGCGCCGCGCGUGGCCUGGCUCCUGUUGUCUGUCACCCGCGGUCUCAAAAGACCCCAUUAAUGACAAAUGCCCUGCCUGUGGCCCCGGCUACUCCGGAGGCUGAGGCGGGAGCAGCGCUUGAGCCCGGGAGCUCUGCGCUGUAUGCGCUGUGCCCAUUGCGCGGCGACACGCAUCUGUGUUCCGCAUCGGUGUGGUGACCUCCCGGGAGCAGGGACCACCAGGUUCCCCAAGGAGUGGGGAACUGGCCCAGCUCGGAAACCGGGCAGGGCAAAACUCCUGUGCUGAUCGGUAGCGGGAUCGCGCCUGUGAAUAGCCACUGCCCUCCAGCCUGGGCAAUACAGCGAGACCCCAUAAGUGAAAAAAAAAAAAAAAGACAAAUGCCCUUAAACAUAUUAAAAGAAGUUAAACGCCACUUGUGAUAGAAGAAAAUGUAGAUUAAGGUGUAAAGAGAGAAGUGGUGAAAAAAACACUCAUACCUUGGUGAUAAUAGUGCAAUGUAUACAAAUACCAUAAAAGGGGAAUUGGCAAUUUUUAAGAAAAAUGGUGUGGGCAUUCAUCUUUGGCCAAUAAUGCCAAGUUAUAUUGAAGAAUAUCUUAAUACUAAUCUUCUUUGCAUUUCUGAAAUAAAUCCCACUUGGUUAAGAAUAUUUUUGAACUUUUUUAAAGAACUCAUUGCUUCACAAUUAAAGUCUGAUGGGGUACACGCGUAGCAAUGGAGGAACUUCUACAGCUACUAUAAAUUAAAGAGCACCACCUGAACCAAAGUAGUGGCCUUCUUGAGCUGAACUGAGCUAACCACAUUCCCCAGCCCCUCUUCCACAGAUACCCCAUGGGGUUGUCAGGGUGUAGGGGAUGCCAUGUUGUACCACCCAGGUUUCCCCUUAAGGACUGAGGACUCAUUUCUCCAGUUGUUGGGUGUGUAGGCCGCUGAUGGCCCCCAGCUGA